UACGGAGGGAGCUAGCGUUGUUCGGAAUUACUGGGCGUAAAGCGCGUGUAGGCGGCCCGCUAAGUCUGAUGUGAAAGCCCGGGGCUCACCCCCGGAAGUGCAUUGGAGACUGGCGGGCUCGAGUCCCGGAGAGGAGGGUGGAAUUCCACGUGUAGCAGUGAAAUGCGUAGAGAUGUGGAGGAACACCGAUGGCGAAGGCAGCCCCCUGGGCCAACACUGACGCUCAGGCACGAAAGCGUGGGGAGCAAACAGG
rnacentral:rRNA from 1 species